AGUCACUGACAUUAGAUACCCGUGUAGUCCAGGGUGUAAACGCUGCAGACUUGGUGUUGGAGGCCCUUUGGGGGCAUUCAGUGCCGGAGAGAAGUUGUUAAGUCUGCUACUUGGGGAGUACGUCCGCAAGGAUGAAACUUAAAGGAAUUGGCGGGGGAGCACCGCAACGGGAGGAGCGUGCGGUUUAAUUGGAUUCAACGCCGAAAAACUCACCAGCAGCGACUGUUACAUGAAAGUCAGGUUGAUGACCUUACUAGAUUUUCAG
rnacentral:rRNA from 1 species